AACGAUGAGUGCUAGGUGUUGGGUCCUUUCCGGGACUCAGUGCCGCAGCUAACGCAUUAAGCACUCCGCCUGGGGAGUACGACCGCAAGGUUGAAACUCAAAGGAAUUGACGGGGGCCCGCACAAGCGGUGGAGCAUGUGGUUUAAUUCGAAGCAACGCGAAGAACCUUACCAGGUCUUGACAUCUCUCUGACCACUCUAGAGAUAGAGUUUCCCUUCGGGGCAGAGGUGACAGGUGGUGCAUGGUUGUCGUCAGCUCGUGUCGUGAGAUGUUGGGUUAAGUCCCGCAACGAGCGCAACCCUUAUUGUUAGUUGCCAUCAUUGAGUUGGGCACUCUAGCGAGACUGCCGGUAAUAAACCGGAGGAAGGUGGGGAUGACGUCAAAUCAUCAUGCCCCUUAUGACCUGGGCUACACACGUGCUACAAUGGCUGGUACAACGAGUCGCAAGCCGGUGACGGCAAGCUAAUCUCUGAAAGCCAGUCUCAGUUCGGAUUGUAGGCUGCAACUCGCCUACAUGAAGUCGGAAUCGCUAGUAAUCGCGGAUCA
rnacentral:rRNA from 1 species